rnacentral:rRNA from 2 species
CGGAGCAGACUCCUUCGGGAGGCAGCAGUGAGGAAUAUUGGUCAAUGGACGCAAGUCUGAACCAGCCAUGCCGCGUGCAGGAUGAAGCAUCUAUGGUGUGUAAACUGCUUUUGUACGGGAAGAAACACUCCUACGUGUAGGAGCUUGACGGUACCGUAAGAAUAAGGAUCGGCUAACUCCGUGCCAGCAGCCGCGGUAAU